ACGGGACCUAGCUGCACACUCUGAACUGGGUUCCUCUUGGACACCAGGCAUCCUUCUUAGAACUGAGACCUCAACAGUGAACGAGGUGGGAGUGAGAGCUCCAGCAGAAGAAGGCAGGAUACUCCGGUUGACUCAGUCUGCCCCCCACCUAUUCCCAGCCCUGAUGGCCUCAGCCUGCAGCCUGCACUGCCAAAGGCUGAGGCAUGUCCAGGCUGCUGUGGUCACCUGUACCAUUUUUCAAGGGGUUGCAAAAGCUGAACUCAACACAGGGCCUUAGUCAGUUUUUUAAAAUUAAAGUAUAAUUGAUUUACAAUGUUUCUUCAAUAUCUGUUGAAUAGCAAAAUAACUUAGUCACACUCUGCGCUGUACAGGAGGGUCCUAUUGCCCAUCCAUUCCAAACAUAAGAGUUUGCAUUAGUCAAUUUGGGUGUAACCUACUGAAGUCAACAUGACCUUGGCCUUUUUUCAUGGAUGUAGGUAAGGCACAUUAAAUUUUUUACUUUGCAAAUGAAAACGGGAAUAGAUUAACAGAAGAAAAAUAACAUAGACAGUCUUUUCCACCUCUCCCUGGGCUAACUAACCCAUAAGCUGAGCAAGUGGGAGAACCUUGAUGGGUGAUGCAUACAUGCUUUUGGUGUAAUUGGGUCUGUUUUCCGGUAAAGACAGCUGAACGCUAAAGUCUGAGCACUGUACUCUAAGAAAUCCCCACAGGCUUGUCAACUGAACCAAUGGGGGAACAGAGGCUCAGUAAAACUUGGGCAUAAUCUAUGCGUCAGAGUUGAUCAAAAUUAUG
rnacentral:lncRNA from 1 species